rnacentral:rRNA from 1 species
GUGGGGCGCGGCGUACCGCUCCGUAAAACACGGACAACCUACCCUCAGGACAGGGAUAACCUCGGGAAACUGAGGCUAAUCCCUGAUAGGUGAGGGACCCUGGAAUGCUCCCUCACCCAAAGGAUCCCAAGACCAUGCUCUUGGGAUCGCCUGAGGAUGGGGCCGUGGCCUAUCAGGUUGGCGGCGAGGUAACGGCUCACCGUGCCUAUAACGGGUACGGGCCGUGAGAGCGGGAGCCCGGACAUGGGCACUGACACAAGGGCCCAGGCCCUACGGGGCGCACCAGGUGCGAAACCUCCGCAAUGCGCUAACGCGCGACGGGGUCACCCCGAGUGCCAGCCGCUGAGGCUGGCUUUUCCCCAGUGUAAAAAGCUGGGGGAAUAAGCGGGGGGCAAGUUCUGGUGUCAUCCGCCGCGGUAAUACCAGCUCCGCGAGUGGUCGGGGCGUUUAUUGCGCCUAAAGCGUCCGUAGCCGGCCCAGCAUGUUCCUCCUUAAAUCCCAUGGCUCAACCAUGGGGCUGGGAGGAAUACUGCUG